CAGUCGCCGCGGUAAGACAGAGGUCCCGAGCGUUGUUCGGAUUCAUUGGGCGUAAAGGGUGUGUAGGAGGUCGGGUAAGUCAGGUGUGAAAUCUCACAGCUUAACUGUGAAACUGCGCUUGAUACUGCUCGGCUAGAGGAUCGGAGGGGGUAACGGAAUUUAUGGUGUAGCAGUGAAAUGCGUAGAUAUCAUAAGGAACACCGGUGGCGAAGGCGGUUACCUGGAAGAUUCCUGACUCUGAAACACGAAAGCCAGGGGAGCAAACGGGAUUAGAUACCCCCGUAGUCCCUGUCUCUUAUAC
rnacentral:rRNA from 1 species